GAUGAACGCUGGCGGCGUGCCUAAUACAUGCAAGUCGAGCGAACAGACGAGGAGCUUGCUCCUCCGACGUUAGCGGCGGACGGGUGAGUAACACGUAGGUAACCUACCUAUAAGACUGGGAUAACUUCGGGAAACCGGAGCUAAUACCGGAUAAUAUUUCGAACCGCAUGGUUCGAUAGUGAAAGAUGGCUUUGCUAUCACUUAUAGAUGGACCUGCGCCGUAUUAGCUAGUUGGUAAGGUAACGGCUUACCAAGGCAACGAUACGUAGCCGACCUGAGAGGGUGAUCGGCCACACUGGAACUGAGACACGGUCCAGACUCCUACGGGAGGCAGCAGUAGGGAAUCUUCCGCAAUGGGCGAAAGCCUGACGGAGCAACGCCGCGUGAGUGAUGAAGGUCUUCGGAUCGUAAAACUCUGUUAUUAGGGAAGAACAAACGUGUAAGUAACUGUGCACGUCUUGACGGUACCUAAUCAGAAAGCCACGGCUAACUACGUG
rnacentral:rRNA from 1 species